rnacentral:misc_RNA from 1 species
CACAAACAUAAAAAAAAAUAAUAAAUUUUAUUAUCCUUCUCCUUACUAUUUUUCUCCGAUUCCAAACAAAAAAUAAAAAAUAAAAUAAUAUUUUCCUACUAUUAUUUUCCUUCCUUCUUCCCUGUUACGUAUCCAAACACAGCAUUAAAGAGAAAAUGACUAAAAAAAAUAAGACUUAUUUUUCUUCUCUGCUUUAUUUUCUUUCUCUUAUUUAAAUAAAGAAAAUGCCUUUUCAAAAUUAUUUUCCCCUACUUAUUUCCCUUGCUGUUCAUUUUCCGCCUAUCCAAACAUGGUAUAAAAGGAAAAAUGCAGCAAUGCCUUUGGUAUUCCUAUCAAAUUUCUCUCCUCCAUCGGAAUUUCAGUUCACAAGUAUCAGUUAAAAACUAAAUGAACUAAAAUAAGAGACCGUUCAAAUUAUUAAAAGAAAUUAGGGAAAUAAGAAAUGAACCUCGAG